rnacentral:tRNA from 1 species
GGGCCAGUAGCUCAGCGGCUAGAGCACUAUCCUUAUAAGAUAGGGGUCGACGGUUCGAAUCCAUCCUGGCCCACAA